UACGGAGGGUGCAAGCGUUAAUCGGAAUUACUGGGCGUAAAGCGUGCGCAGGCGGUUUGUUAAGUCUGCUGUGAAAUCCCCGAGCUCAACUUGGGAAUUGCAGUGGAUACUGGCAGGCUGGAGUAUGGUAGAGGAAGGUGGAAUUCCCGGUGUAGCAGUGAAAUGCGUAGAGAUCGGGAGGAACACCAGUGGCGAAGGCGGUGGGCUGGGCCACACCUGACACUAAGGCACGAAAGCGUGGGGAGCGAACAGG
rnacentral:rRNA from 1 species